UUGGAGUGUUACCACAAUUGUGUAAUCGAGUCUGUGAUAGAGUCUGUAAUCGAGUUUGGAGCACUUUGGAAGGAAGUUAAUCCUGCCGCCAUUUUCAUUUCCGCUUUGCAAUUUAUUCAACCCUCCGAUUGGAGCAGGUUUUUAUUACUUGUCUUUAUCUUAUUUAUUUUCCCGCACUCGCUUUACUUUAUUUAUUUCCCCGCACUCGCUUUACUUUAUUUAUUUCUCGCACUCGCUUUACUUUAUUUAUUUCUCGCACUCGCUUUACUUUAUUUAUUUCCUCGCACUCGCUUUAAAUUAUUUAUUUCCUCGCACUCGCUUUAAAUUAUUUAUUUCCUCGCACUCGCUUU
rnacentral:lncRNA from 1 species